GGCCUCCAUUACGCCGCACAAUUCCAUACAGACCUUGGCCGACCCUGGGAAGUACGCUCUGAUUGGAGCCGCCGCCCAGCUUGGUGGGAUCGUGAGGAUGACCCUCAGCCUGACUGUCAUCAUGGUGGAAGCCACCG